GCCGGGGUUUCUUUACCAGAUACUGUCAUUAUCAUCUCUGGCGAAAGAGCUUUACGAUCCUAAGACCUUCUUCACUCACGCGGCAUGGCUAGAUCAGGCUUGCGCCCAUUGUCUAAGAUUCCCC
rnacentral:rRNA from 1 species